rnacentral:lncRNA from 10 species
GAAAGGGAGGGCUGGAGUGGGGACACCUAUUGAUCCCACAGACAACUGAGAGCUGGAACUUUAAGAAAACCAGAGACAAAAUGUCUGAUCUUCUCGCAGGAGUCUGGCCAAACCUGCUGAAGAGGAGCUAAAGAGGUGACUGCAAAUUGAAAUGAACAUGCUGCUGAAAAGAAUUCAGAGCAGUGACAAAUCGCUUUAUGGGGCCCCAGCGUAUUGCAGACAGCUGAGGACUCUCUCCCCACGCACCAGAGUAUAAAUUCGAGGGCCCCACGGUGCCAAAGAAGGACUCACCAGGAGUUUCCUUCUCCAGGUUCCAGCCAGUUUGACAGGAGAUUCAUGAGGACGAGUGCUGUAAUCGUGGGCAGGAUCUCAGUAUUCCAGGGUCUUCUGUCCAAAGGCCACCCAGGAGUUCCUGAUACCUUCUGCAAAUGGAAAGCCUAGGAGACCAGGCUAGGACCAAAUGACUCAUCCAGUGUGCCUCCUGCUGUGGGCCUGUCCUGACAGUAUUUUCAGGGCUCUACCCUAACAGAACUUCCUUGCCAUGUGCUCAGUAUCUGAGACAACCUUUUCUAGAUUACCCAAUUUAUCUCAUCUCUUAUUUUUAUUCAUCUAUUUUUAACCUACCUUGGCAAUCAACAUUGAUGCCCUCUAGUUAAAACACACACACACACACACAUACACACACACACACACAUACACACACACACACACACACAACCCUAAUGCCUUUCGGUAGCACUUAGAAUAAAAUCUGAUCUCACCAUAGCCUAUAUGGUAGAUUAAUUGUAUUGUUGAUCUCAACAUCUGUUGCUCCUCUCUAUGGGAAACAUACAUUCAGACACCAAUGACAUCACACUUGGCUGUAUAAUUUGCUUUGGCCAAUGGCAUUGGCACAUCCACUUCCAUGCAGACACUUUAAGGCCAUUAUGUGGUUCUCCACUUUCUCUUUUCCCUCUUCCAGAACACCAGAAAUGUCUCAGAUAGGAGCUAUUCCAUUCACUUGAGUCCUAUAGUGGAGAAAGUGUGUAACUGACUCACAAUGGACCUGCAGCAUGACUGAUAAGUAAAUGUGUUCAUUGUAUGCUACUGAAAUUCGAGGGUCAUUUGUCAUCAUGUGCUUUAGCCUAAUCUGAAUUAUAAUUUUCUGCAAUGUGAUCUAACCCCUGACCACUUCUCCAAUCUCAUAGCCUACUUUCCAUCCCCUCACCUGCUCCACACCACACACUCUGACCUGUCUCUGAACACACCAAGCUUGUUCUCACCUCAAAGCCUUUGCACAUGCUGCUCCCUCUGCCUGGAAUGCUUUUCCCUGACAUUUUCACCUGGCUGGUUCUUUUCAUUUUUCAGAUCUUGGUUCAAAUGUUACCUUCUUAAGAAAGGUCUUUUCUGAACCCAUAUCUAAGGUAAUCUCCCACUCACUUUCUCUCACGUUUUCCUGUUUUAUUUUGCUUUUGUUCCUGGGUUUGUUUUCCCUUAUUGGAAAGACACUUUAUGAGAGUAGAGACCUUGUUCAUCAUAUUUAAUGCUCUAUCUCUGACACUAGAAAGUCACCUGAUACAUAGAGAAUAAAUGUGUGUUUGCUAAAUGAAUCUCUCUCCUAAAUUUUAAAUGCAUUCAACCUCCAACUGGAUACAUUUUCCUAGAAGUUCUCACACUCAACAAAUCUGAAGCAGAAUUGAUAAUUCUGUCCUCUCGUC